rnacentral:lncRNA from 10 species
CUUUUAUUUUCAUCUAAAGCACAUCUUUGAGAUCAUUCAAGAUCAUUUCCUAACAGAAUACAGAACUAUCCCUUGGUCAUUUUGCAGUUACAUAUGCUUCAUGUUGUGAAUUUACCUUAGUAUAGUCACCAGUGCUCUCUUUAUGGACACUUAGUUAUUUUCAGGCUUUUGCUGUAAGAUCACAGUGCAUAGACUUAUGCAUAUUAUUUUGAACACAUACACAACCACACAUGGUAUAAUUUCACAUAGCACAUCUUCAAUUUCAAAUAUUUAUUCAACUAGUUUAAUAAAGUACUAUUUUUUCUUACCCAUAGCUUAUAUUUGGAAAGAAAACUACCUGGGAAAAUACUUUCUACCCUGCCAUAAACCCUGGACACUUAGGAGAAAGAUGGAAGACACUGGGAUCAAAGCAAAUCGAGGAAAAAAUUCAAGUGAAGAGACUGGAAAUUAAGAGAGUCCAUACUGGAUGAUUUUUCAGUAAAGAAUUGCGCAAUACAAAGGGUGAGGAAUCCUGGAUUUGAAAGAAAAUGAAGAAUUCACUAAAGGUUCCCAUUUGUAGAUUUGAGAUGGCAGAAGAAAAUAAAAAUCACCAAACUUGAAGGCAAUUUUCAACCACUUGCAGUUAAACAAAGUCACAAGACUAGGUCUUGGCAACGGGAUAUGUGAGGAAGUGAUGUGAAUUCCUGGCCAAAGCAUAGAAGUGCAGAGGCAAGACCAUCCAGGUGACUCUUGCGAAGCAUCAGCUAUGGAGGCAAUGUGGUCCACGACACUUGUGACAGGAUUUCUGCACAAGAUGGUGCCUGAUGGGAAUCUUUACAAAGGACCUUGAAGCAGUCCCUGUGACAGCCCUAGAACAACAGAUAAAAAGUCUGACUACUCUGAGACCAUCAUACUGGAGAGGCCAAAAUAGGCUUUUUAGUUGACAGUGCCAGCCUUCCAGCCAUCCCUGCCAAGUCAUCAGGCAUGCAAGUAAAACCAUAUUGAAACCUAUAGACCAGCCAAUUCAUCAGCUGACUACACUACCAACUGACCUCAGUCAACACAGAACAGAAGAAUCACCCAGUGGGGUCCUGCUUGAAUUCUGCAUCUACAAAAUUGUGAACAAAAUAAAAUGAUUAUUGUUUUAAGCCACU